GUAAGAAGCAAGCAGGGGCGAGUUUAUGAUCAGGAAGGUGGAUUCCCCAGGGUGAGGCUCACCCAUUGCACUCCGGGCGUUGCUGAUCCCUGUGAUUUCCCCAAAUGUGGGAAAUUCAAUUACGUAAUUUAUGGUAGUGGGGGACUAUGUGCGUACUCUCCCCUG